ACGGCGAGUGAAGCGGCAAAAGCUCAAAUUUGAAAUYUAGCACCUUCGGUGUUCGAGUUGUAAUUUGAAGAUGGUAACCUUGGGUUUGGCUCUUGUCUAUGUUCCUUGGAACAGGACGUCAUAGAGGGUGAGAAUCCCGUCUGAUGAGAUGCCCAUUCCUAUSUAAGGUKCUAUYGAAGAGUCGAGUUGUUUGGGAAUGCAGCUCUAAGUGGGUGGUAAAUUCCAUCUAAAGCUAAAUAUUGGCGAGAGACCGAUAGCGAACAAGUACAGUGAUGGAAAGAUGAAAAGAACUUUGAAAAGAGAGUGAAAAAGUACGUGAAAUUGUUGAAAGGGAAGGGCAUUAGAUCAGACUUGGUGUUUUACGAUUAUCUUCUCUUCUUGAGUUGUGCACUCGUAUUUCACUGGGCCAGCMUCGAUUCGGAUGGCAAGAUAAUGGCAGUUGAAUGUGGCUUCACUUCGGUGGAGUGUUAUAGCUUCUGCUGAUAUUGCCUGUCUGGAUCGAGGGCUGCGUCUUUUGACUAGGAUGCUGSCGUAAU
rnacentral:rRNA from 1 species